UACAGAGGUGGCAAGCGUUGUUCGGAAUUACUGGGCGUAAAGGGCGCGUAGGCGGCUUGGUCAGUCCCGUGUGAAAUCCCUCGGCUCAACUGAGGAACUGCACGGGAAACUGCCUGGCUUGAGUUCGGGAGAGGGAUGCGGAAUUCCAGGUGUAGCGGUGAAAUGCGUAGAUAUCUGGAGGAACACCGGUGGCGAAGGCGGCAUCCUGGACCGACACUGACGCUGAGGAGCGAAAGCCAGGGGAGCAAACGGG
rnacentral:rRNA from 1 species